rnacentral:rRNA from 1 species
UACGGAGGGUGCAAGCAUUAAUCGGAUUUAUUGGGCGUAAAGGGCGCGUAGGCUGAGAUAUAAGUCAGAUGUGAAAUCCCGGGGCUCAACCUCGGAACAGCAUUUGAAACUGUAUCUCUAGAGGGUAGUCGGAGAAAAUGGAAUUCCACAAGUAGCGGUGAAAUGCGUAGAUAUGUGGAAGAACACCGGUGGCGAAGGCGAUUUUCUAGAUUAUACCUGACGCUGAGGCGCGAAAGCAAGGGAG